GUGGACUUUGGAUUCUGGAAGACUUUCGUGCAGAUUCCAGCUCUACCACAGCCUCUCCGCAGACCUUAUCAGGCACUUCUCCAAAAUGCUAUUUUCACAUCUGAAAGUGCAUUUAAGGAUGCUUUUCACUGGGAGCUACUAUGAGGAUGUUGCGAAAUAAAGGAUAUGAAAGGAGCGAUCCACACAGCCCAAAACGUGCUCCAGGUGCCAGCAGAGAUGAGUUUUAUCCUUGCUACAAGCUUCUGGUCUUUGAUAUCCGACUGAAACAGAGUUUAAGGAGUUUUGGGUUCCCCUGGAUCCUGCGGGGGCUGGACUCCAGCGUGUGUCUUCCGACAGAGCCUAGGAAACCACCAGUCUUCACCAUGGUCCGCUGGAGGGAGAAAGGAGGAACAGCUCACGCGCCCAACUCCUCCUGCCUGUCCGUGUUCACUAGUGCAGAAUCCUCUGUAUUUCUGGGUUGUGUUCUCCAGCAUCCUCUGACCAACUACUGGCGGAGCCAUGGCCCACAUCUGGUGGCUUGGGGCUUCACUUGAGUUCAAAAGUGAGGAAGGAGCCAAAGUCUUUUCGGAUUCAGUCAUGUUUAUUAUUUUUUUAAAAUAUGUAUUUAUCUGCUUCCGGCUGUCCCAGGUCUUUGUAGCUGCUCUUGGACUUUCUCUAGCUGCGGUAGGUGGGAGCGGCUCUCCAGCUGUGGCGCCUGAGUUUCUCUCCCUGUGCUCACCAGCUCUAGAGUUCACGGGCUCAGCAGCUGUGGUCACGGGCUCAGUUGUCCCACGGCCUGUGACAUCUUCCUGGACCAGUGACUGAACCCAGGUCCCCUGCAUUGGCAGGUGGAGUCUUAAAUGCUGGACCACAGAGAAGUCCUUCACAGUGUUUAGAGUCUCCAGACACAAUAGGGUAUUCAGUCAAAUUCGGAUGUCAUUUAUUGUUUUUUAAGUAAUUUAUUUAUCUGGCCACGUGGCUUGUGGGAUCUUCAUUCCCCGACCAGAGAUCGAAGCCCACCCAGGCUUAUGGCAGUGAAAGCACCAGGUCUUAACCCCUGGACUGCCAGUGAACUCCCAAAUUUGAAUGUGAGACAAAUAGUGAAUGUUUUCCUUAGUAUAAGUAUGCCCCCAAUGUUGCACAAGACAAACGUCUACUAAAAAAUUACUUGUUGUUUUCCUGAAAUUUAAAUGCAAUUGGACAUCUUGUAUUUUCAUCUGCUAAGUCAUGCAACCUUCCUCUCGUGGGGCGGGUGGAGGCCACGGCAGAGUCUGGACCCCCUCCUGGGAGAGGUCGAGUGCCCGUACAGGUGAUGGAUUGGACGGCCACUCAGCACUCUUCACAGGGGAAGCAGUGGAGGGCUGGGGUGGCUGAUGCAGCUGGAGAUAUCUAGAGAGGCAAUAAAUUCACCUGGUACAACCUAAGCCUGUGGGUUCCGGAGGCCUUUAGAAGGAAAUCACAUUUAAACUGAAAUAUUAAGGACCGGCAAGAAUCCGCCUGGAUAAUUUGUGGAGUAGUUCCAUCUGAAUAAACAGCAUCCACUGUCCAUCCAGUCCAUCCUAAAGGAGAUCAGUCCUGGGUGUUCACUGGAAGGACUGAUGCUGAAGCUGAAACUCCAAUAUUUUGGCCACCUCAUGCGAAGAACUGACUCACUGGAAAAACCCUGAUGCUGGGAGAGAUUGGGGGCAGGAGGAGAAGGGGACGACAGAGGAUGAGAUGGUUGGAUGGCAUCACCGACUCAGAGGACUUGAGUUUGAGUAAACUCUGGGAGUUGGUGAUGGACAGGGAGGCCUGGCGUGCUGCAGUCCAUGGGGUUGCAAAGAGUCGGACAUGGUUGAGUGACUGAACUGAGUUGAACUGAAGCUCACCAAGUACCCUAUCCAUCCUGAUGCUUGCCCUGGAAAUCCCUGAAAUUCCCCACAAUCAAGGGAUGAAGGAAGCUUCUAGGACUCUUGCAUUGAGCAUAGCCUGUAUCCAUCCUCAUUUUGUCAUUUAAACAGGAUAGAAAUAGUCACCCCCUCCAGGACCUCCAGGCUGGCGAGUAUGUAAAUCAGCCACCUUCUCUCGCUUGCAUCUGGAAUAUAGCAUUGCUGCCAAGAUGGCCGCAGCACAGAAGUGCGACCUCAGCCACAGAGGUCACAAAGACAGUUUGGGCUCAGCUGAAGCAACAGCUUUUUAAGAAUCAGAGCCGUCCAGAGACAGUAGGUAGGGAGCCACCCUGCCAUGGAACAUCCAAGCCAAGGGAGGAUGGCCAGUUUGCAAGACAGUCCGGGAGGACGCUGAAGCCUUGGGCUGAGAGCGCCUGUCCCUUCCAAUCAUGAGACUCCAUAAUUCUUGUUUCUAAAUUAGAUGUCAGUAAGCUAUGGAGCCCAGGAAAAACCCAGCGUCCGCCUCUUUCUGUAGAGACUUAUUGGAACACAGGCAUGCUAUACAGUUAGUAUCAUCCACACGUAGCUCGCACUCUGAUGGCAGAGUUGAGCACUCAUCACAGACGCUGUUUGGCUGCAAAGCCUAAGACAUUCACUAGCUGGUGGCCAAUUAUAGGAAAAGCUUGUGAACGUCGUUCUAAGAGACUCCUGGGAUGAAGCCUUUGAUAAAGCCUCCAAUUAUCUCCGACCUACCUGUGCCGUUUAUCUGUAUGGCAAGGCUGCUAGACUGCUUUCCUUAAAGAUACGCGUGUGUUUGUUCAGGAUAUUAACAAAAAAUAUUCAGGGGCUCCCUCUGAGUCAGUGUAACUUCCCGACCAGUGCUAUCAAAUGGAUCGAGAGAAAAAAAGGCUCCUGAGGUGCUCCAACAUGGCUUUCCUUCCCUCCCCUCCUGCGAGAGUUGAGCUGCAGAGUCAGCGUGAAGACUGCAGCAACAAGCUCGGCAGAGCUGAAAGCUGAUACACACGGAGCUCCUAGCUGGGUUGUGCAGAGCUUUACAUGGAGAGUUUCAGUCAAUCCUCUUAACAACUUCAUCUACUGCUUAGAAGGACGUCACAGUUGAGGACAUGGAGGCUUAGGGAGACUCCAGAACUUGCCCUGAGUCACCUAUGGAGGCAGGAUGCUGCUUCUAUUUCAAUGCUGAAACCUCUAUUUCGUAUAUACAUAUGUCAGUCUAGCUGUUGAGAUAUUUUGAGUGACUGUACAAAGCACAACAAAGUCUAGAGACUGAAUAGACUCACAGCCCAGCCCAUGCGCUUAAUCUCAUAUUUAGAUCACAGAAAAGUAGUCACGACAAUGGGAAUAUUUCAUUGGAAGAUCCAAAGCUCCCGAUUCUGCAUAAUUCCACGAUGGCAGAACCACCUCCCCUAACUCACUUGUUUUCAUGGUUAUUUCAAACAGAAAGAAAAAUGGUGGCGAUUUUCACUUCAUCUCUGCUCGACGUCUGUCUGAAGACCCUGCAGCUAAAGAGGGAAGGACUGAAUACUAGAUGGGGUUUGUAUUAUCCAAAAAUAAAACAAAUACAGAAAUAUGGACUCCUGCCAGCAGUUAACCCAGAGCGGCCAGAUGCCACCCAGUCACUUCUUUUGGUCAAAUCUUCCUCCAAGAGGGAAUUACAUGACAGGAAAGACUCUGGGACUAAGAAACAAGAGCGUGAGAGGAAUCCCAGGUGUUUCUGACCCUGCGGUGGACAAGCUCUCUGUUUGUCUUCAGCUGAAUGCGAAUGCAAGAGGCGCUCUUCAUAUUAGACUGGUGUUAUUAGGAAACCUGAAAACUGAUCGGAGAGGGAGUAAGGCUGGUCUUAACUGCUCAGUCCAGUGGAGCUUAGCUUCAGUUCAGUUCAGUUUAGUUCAGUUCAGUCGCUCAGUCGUGUCUGACUCUUUGCAACCUCAUGGCUGCAGCAGGCCAGGCCUCCCUGUCCAUCACCAACACCCGG
ensembl:lncRNA